rnacentral:rRNA from 1 species
AUUGAACGCUGGCGGAAUGCUUUACACAUGCAAGUCGAACGGCAGCGCGGGGCAACCUGGUGGCGAGUGGCGAACGGGUGAGUAAUACAUCGGAACGUGCCCAAUCGUGGGGGAUAACGUAGCGAAAGUUACGCUAAUACCGCAUACGAUCUACGGAUGAAAGCGGGGGAUCGCAAGACCUCGCGCGAAUGGAGCGGCCGAUGUCAGAUUAGGUAGUUGGUGGGGUAAAGGCUCACCAAGCCGACGAUCUGUAGCUGGUCUGAGAGGACGACCAGCCACACUGGGACUGAGACACGGCCCAGACUCCUACGGGAGGCAGCAGUGGGGAAUUUUGGACAAUGGGCGCAAGCCUGAUCCAGCCAUUCCGCGUGCAGGAUGAAGGCCUUCGGGUUGUAAACUGCUUUUGUACGGAACGAAACGGUGAGCUCUAAUACCCUGUGCGGAUGACGGUACCGGCAUAAGAAGCACCGGCUAACUACGUGCCAGCCGCCGCAGUAA